rnacentral:rRNA from 1 species
GACGAACGCUGGCGGCGUGCUUAACACAUGCAAGUCGAGCGAGGCCCCUCCUUCGGGAGGGUGUCGUAGCGGCGAACGGGUGAGUAACACGUGGGCAACCUGCCCUCAGCUCUGGGAUAACUCCGGUAAACCGGGGCUAAUACCUGAUACGACAUCCACGGGCAUCCGCGGUGGUGGAGAGUUUCUCGGCUGAGGAUAGGCCCGCGGCUUAUCCGCUAGUUCGUGAGCUAGUGGCUCACCAAGGCGACGACUGAUAGCCGGCCUGAGAGCGGACCCGGCCACCAUGGGACUAAGACACGGAGCAGAAGCGAACCGGAGGCAGCAGUGGAGAGCAUUACGCAGUGGGCGAGCGCCUGAGGUAGAGACGUCGCGAGAGUGAAGCAGUGCUACGGGUGGUAAACAUAUGUGAGCAGAGACGAAGCGAACGUGACGGUACCUGCAGAAGAAGCACCGGCCAACUACGUG